rnacentral:rRNA from 1 species
UGGGUAGGGGAGCGUUCUGUAAGCCUGUGAAGGUGUACUGUGAGGUAUGCUGGAGGUAUCAGAAGUGCGAAUGCUGACAUAAGUAACGAUAAAGCGGGUGAAAAGCCCGCUCGCCGGAAGACCAAGGGUUCCUGUCCAACGUUAAUCGGGGCAGGGUGAGUCGACCCCUAAGGCGAGGCCGAAAGGCGUAGUCGAUGGGAAACAGGUUAAUAUUCCUGUACUUGGUGUUACUGCGAAGGGGGGACGGAGAAGGCUAUGUUGGCCGGGCGACGGUUGUCCCGGUUUAAGCGUGUAGGCUGGUUUUCCAGGCAAAUCCGGAAAAUCAAGGCUGAGGCGUGAUGACGAGGCACUACGGUGCUGAAGCAACAAAUGCCCUGCUUCCAGGAAAAGCCUCUAAGCAUCAGGUAACAUCAAAUCGUACCCCAAACCGACACAGGUGGUCAGGUAGAGAAUACCAAGGCGCUUGAGAGAACUCGGGUGAAGGAACUAGGCAAAAUGGUGCCGUAACUUCGGGAGAAGGCACGCUGAUAUGUAGGUGAAGUCCCUCGCGGAUGGAGCUGAAAUCAGUCGAAGAUACCAGCUGGCUGCAACUGUUUAUUAAAAACACAGCACUGUGCAAACACGAAAGUGGACGUAUACGGUGUGACGCCUGCCCGGUGCCGGAAGGUUAAUUGAUGGGGUCAGCGCAAGCGAAGCUCUUGAUCGAAGCCCCGGUAAACGGCGGCCGUAACUAUAACGGUCCUAAGGUAGCGAAAUUCCUUGUCGGGUAAGUUCCGACCUGCACGAAUGGCGUAAUGAUGGCCAGGCUGUCUCCACCCGAGACUCAGUGAAAUUGAACUCGCUGUGAAGAUGCAGUGUACCCGCGGCAAGACGGAAAGACCCCGUGAACCUUUACUAUAGCUUGACACUGAACAUUGAGCCUUGAUGUGUAGGAUAGGUGGGAGGCUUUGAAGUGUGGACGCCAGUCUGCAUGGAGCCGACCUUGAAAUACCACCCUUUAAUGUUUGAUGUUCUAACGUGGACCCGUGAUCCGGGUUGCGGACAGUGUCUGGUGGGUAGUUUGACUGGGGCGGUCUCCUCCUAAAGAGUAACGGAGGAGCACGAAGGUUGGCUAAUCCUGGUCGGACAUCAGGAGGUUAGUGCAAUGGCAUAAGCCAGCUUGACUGCGAGCGUGACGGCGCGAGCAGGUGCGAAAGCAGGUCAUAGUGAUCCGGUGGUUCUGAAUGGAAGGGCCAUCGCUCAACGGAUAAAAGGUACUCCGGGGAUAACAGGCUGAUACCGCCCAAGAGUUCAUAUCGACGGCGGUGUUUGGCACCUCGAUGUCGGCUCAUCACAUCCUGGGGCUGAAGUAGGUCCCAAGGGUAUGGCUGUUCGCCAUUUAAAGUGGUACGCGAGCUGGGUUUAGAACGUCGUGAGACAGUUCGGUCCCUAUCUGCCGUGGGCGCUGGAGAACUGAGGGGGGCUGCUCCUAGUACGAGAGGACCGGAGUGGACGCAUCACUGGUGUUCGGGUUGUCAUGCCAAUGGCACUGCCCGGUAGCUAAAUGCGGAAGAGAUAAGUGCUGAAAGCAUCUAAGCACGAAACUUGCCCCGAGAUGAGUUCUCCCUGACCCUUUAAGGGUCCUGAAGGAACGUUGAAGACGACGACGUUGAUAGGCCGGGUGUGUAAGCGCAGCGAUGCGUUGAGCUAACCGGUACUAAUGAACCGUGAGGCUUAACCU